AUUGAACGCUGGCGGCAGGCCUAACACAUGCAAGUCGAGCGGAGCGGAGGACGGGUGAGUGAUGCCUAGGAAUCUGCAUGGUAGUGGGGGAUAGCGUCCGGAAACGGGCGCUAAAACCGAUAACUAUAAGAAGAGCCUGGGUCGGAUUAGCUAGAUGGUGGGGUAAAGGCCUACCCAGGCGACGAUCCGUAACCGGUCUGAGAGGAUGAUCAGUCACACUGGAACUGAGACACGGUCCAGACUCCUACGGGAGGCAGCAGUGGGGAAUAUUGGACAAUGGGCGAAAGCCUGAUCCAGCCAUGCCGCGUGUGUGAAGAAGGUCUUCGGAUUGUAAAGCACUUUAAGUUGGGAGGCGUUACCAACAGAAUAAGCACCGGCUAACUUCGUGCCAGCAGCCGCGGUAAUUC
rnacentral:rRNA from 1 species